UACAUACUGUGCGAACGUUAUUCGGAAUCACUGGGCUUACAGGGUGCGUAGGCGGCUUGUUAAGUAGGGUGUGAAAGCCCCCGGCUCAACCGGGGAAUUGCGCCCUAAACUGGCGAGCUGGAGUGAGAUAGGGGUGUGUGGAACUUCCGGUGGAGCGGUGAAAUGUGUUGAUAUCGGAAGGAACGCCGGUGGCGAAAGCGACUGACUGGGUCUUUUCUGACGCUGAGGCACGAAAGCUAGGGUAGCGAACGGG
rnacentral:rRNA from 1 species